rnacentral:tRNA from 1 species
GGAAGCUGAGUGGAAGAGCAUCUACCUUGCAUGCAGAAGGUCCCAGGUUCAAUCCUCAGCAUCUCCA